UUCAGCCAAUCGGUUUCCUCGCUGCAUGUUAGCAUCCAUUGAGCGAGGAAGCUAACCUUCUUCAGGCUACCGCCUCGCCUUCUGGCACGUUCUGCGUUUAUAUUUUAUAUUUUGUCUCGUGUUGAGUAAUAAUACUCAACCUUGCGAGAUUUAUUACCAAGUUGUGCCAGUACGACACCAUUUCGCAACGAUGACAGGCUCUAACGAAUACAAGCUAAACCAGACACCUGAAGACGGCAUCUCUGCUGUAAAGUUCAGCCCCAGUACUGCUCAGUUCCUCUUGGUUUCCUCAUGGGAUUGCACAGUUCGUCUGUAUGAUGUCGGAGGGAACACGAUGAGGAUGAAGUACCAGCACACAGCUCCUGUGCUUGACUGUGCUUUUUAUGACUCAACACAUUCUUGGAGUGGAGAUUUGGAGGCUCAACUAAAGACUCACGAUUUGAACACAGACCAAGGUGUGCCUUUAAAUUCCCUUAAAUGUUGGUUUAUAAAUAAACAUUGGCCCAUGUAAAAUUCUUAUGGUAUAAUUGCAGUAAGCAAAAUU